rnacentral:rRNA from 1 species
CCUACGGGAGGCAGCAGUAGGGAAUUUUCCGCAAUGGGCGAAAGCCUGACGGAGCAAUACCGCGUGAGGGAUGACGGCCUGUGGGUUGUAAACCUCUUUUCUCAAGGAAGAAGUUCUGACGGUACUUGAGGAAUAAGCAUCGGCUAACUCUGUGCCAGCAGCCGCGGUAAUACAGAGGAUGCAAGCGUUAUCCGGAAUCACUGGGCAUAAAGCGUCUGUAGGUUGUUUAGUAAGUCUGCUGUUAAAGACUGGGGCUUAACCCCAGAAAAGCAGUGGAAACUGCUAGACUCGAGUGUGGUAGAGGUAGAGGGAAUUCCUAGUGUAGCGGUGAAAUGCGUAGAUAUUAGGAAGAACACCAAUGGCGAAGGCACUCUACUGGGCCAUAACUGACACUGAGAGACGACAGCUAGGGGAGCAAACGGGAUUAGAUACCCCGGUAGUCCUAGCCGUAAACGAUGGAUACUAGAUAGUUGUCACGUACUUAACCCGUUACGUCAGUAUACGUAGUCGUAAGGUACGUUAAGUAAGUACCGUCCCGUCGGGUAAGGUACGCGUCGCGAAGAGUAGAAACGUAACGUAAAGGUAAAGUUAGUUACGGCGUGAGAGUAGCCGACGGACGACGACGAGGGAGGUUAGG